rnacentral:tRNA from 1 species
GCCAGUGUAGCUUAUAUAAAAGCAUAACACUGAAGAUGUUAAGAUGAGCCCUAAUAAGACUCCACAGGCA